rnacentral:rRNA from 1 species
GACGGGGGGGGCAAGUGUUCUUCGGAAUGACUGGGCGUAAAGGGCGCGCAGGCGGCGGAUCAAGUCAGAUGUGAAAGCCCCGGGCUUAACCUGGGAACUGCAUUUGGGACUGGUUUGCUAGAGAUCGGGAGAGGAGAGUGGAAUUCCCAGUGUAGAGGUGAAAUUCGAUAGAUAUUGGGAAGAACACCGGUGGCGAAGGCGGCUACUCUGGACCGAUACUGACGCUGAGGCGCGAAAGCGUGGGGAGCAAACAGGG